UCCCCGUUAUCCGAGGCAGUCUGAUGUGAAAUAACAACACAUCAUAGGGGUUGCGCUCGUUACCCCACUUAAGGGUACACCUCACGGCACGAGCUGACGACAACCAUGCAGCACCUGUUGUAGCACCCUCGAAGGAGUCCCACUUUCAUGGGAUUUGCAGCUACUUGUCAAGCCUUGGUGAGGUUCCUCGCUUAUCGUCGAAUUAACCCACAUGUUCCACCGCUUGUGCGGGUCCCCGUCUAUUCCUUUGAGUUUUAGUCUUGCGACCGUACUCCCCAGGCGGAGUGCUUAACGCGUUAGCUUAGUUGAACGACUCUGGGAGGGUCGAUACUCCCAAAAUCCAGCACUCAUCGUUUAGGGCACGGACUA
rnacentral:misc_RNA from 1 species